rnacentral:rRNA from 1 species
ACUGCUAUCGGAGUUGGACUAAGUCAUGCAAGUCGAGGACGUCAGCUAUGAGACGAACUGGCGAACAGCUCAGUAACACGUAGCCAAUCUACCCUCAGGACGGGUAUAAAUGCGGGAAACUGCAUCUAAAUCCCGAUAGACACUUCCUGCUGGAAUGCGUUAGUGUCCAAAACCCGCUUUUCAUGCGAAAUGGGGGCCUGAGGACGAGACUGCGGCCCAUUAGGUAGUAGGUGGGGUAAUGGCCCACCUAGCCAAGGAUGGGUACGGGCGAUGAGAGUCGUAGCCCGGAGAUGGACACCGAGAUAAGGGUCCAGGCCCUACGGGGUGCAGCAGGCGCGAAAACUCCACUAUGCACGAAAGUGCGAUGGGGCAACUCCGAGUGUUGUCGUAAUGGCAACUUUUCCUGAGUGUGAGUAGCUCAGGGAAUAAGGAGAGGGCAAGACUGGUGCCAGCCGCCGCGGUAAAACCAGCUCUUCGAGUGGUAGGGAUGAUUAUUUGGCCUAAAGCAUCCGUAGCCGGACUCGUAAGUCCACGGUUAAAGGUCAGGUCUUAAAUCUGUACAUCGCCGUGGAUACUGCAUGUCUAGGGACCGGGAGAGGUGAAAGGUACUCCAGGGGUAGAGGUGAAAUUCGUUCAUCCUUGGGGGACCACCUAUGGCGAAGGCAUUUCACUGGAACGGGUCCGACGGUGAGGGAUGAAAGCCAGGGGAGCGAGCCGGAUUAGAUACCCGGGUAGUCCUGGCCGUAAACGAUGCGCGCUAAGUGUCAGGNUACAUGCGGAGUACCCUGGUGCCGAAGGNAAGCCGUUAAGCGCGCCGCAAGGGAAGUACGUGCGCAAGCAUGAAACUUAAAGGAAUUGACGGGGGAGCACCACAAGGGGUGGAGCCUGCGGUUAAAUUGGACUCAACUCCGGGAACCUUACCUGUGCCGACAGCUGGAUGAUCCUCAAGCUAAAGACUUUAGGUGACUAGCUGAGCGGAGGUGCAUGGCCGUCGUCAGCUCGUGAUGUGAAUUGUCCUGUUAAGUCAGGCAACGAGCGAGAUCCUUGUCCCUAAUUGCCAGCGGUUGGGCGCAAGCCUAAGCCGGGGACCUUAGGGAGACUGCACGCGAUGAAGUGUGAGGAAGGCGAGGCCCACGGCAGGUCAGUAUGCCCCUAAUGCACAGGGCUACACGCGGGCUACAAUGGCUCGGACAGACCGUUCCUACCCCGAAAGGGUGACGGUAAUCGGUAACCCGAGUCUCAGUUGGGAUCGGGGGCUGCAACUCGCCCUCGUGAACUUGGAAUCCCUAGUAAGCGCACGUCAUCAACGUGCGUUGAAUACGUCCCUGCUCCUUGUACACACCGCCCGUCGC